rnacentral:lncRNA from 1 species
GCAACAGAGGGUCGAUGGGGUAGGAGGAAGGAGAAGCGAGAAGUCGCUGCCAGGCAUUUACUGCAAUGUGCCCGGGGCGGGCGCCAGCUGGGCGCCGUCUCUUUUUGGUGGUGAGUUCUGUGCUGGAAGAGCGUCCUCAGCAGGGCAGGGCUCCACCAGGAGGCUUCGGUGGUGACCCCAGGGCAGGCAGUGCGUUGCGUCUAUAAAUUUAAAUAGAGAUGGCGAGGGUAGCCUUGGAAAUUCUUAAAUCAGGGUUCACCACUAGUCAGGUGAACAGGAUGACUUCUCAAUUUAACACCACUUGAUCCUGGGUAGUAGCUUACAACUUCAUGGGAACUGCCACUGCAACUCUGCACGUCCAGGAGGGACUUUCAAGCAGCUCUGGAGAGAAAUGGCGGGUUAUCAAGAACCUGUUCAAUAUUAAAUAGAGCCCAUUAUUCUGGGCUUUGAAUUCCAUAAUGCUCCCAAAUGGAUCAGCAGAUUAAUGAACUAUUCAUGCGUUUCUUGGCAGAGGAUGGCUUUUUUCCCCUAGCAUGUAUCACAGAUCACACUUGCUUGAUGAAACUGGAAAAUUGCAUUGCUCAUCCCAUGAAUGCUUUGCAUUAACUUAAACACAACUUUUACAUAUCAAGACACACUGUCCCAUUGAUGCAGUUACACAAGAACACAUCAUUAGGUUGUAUCCCUCAAUGCUAUCUUUUAAUCUGACUCUGCAUGUGUGACAGAAAUUAAUUGCCACUUUCAUCAGUGUAGACAACCAAUCUGGGUAAUGCAAUGUGAACAAGUUUUUGAAAAAGAAGAAAAAGUUUAGGGACCAAAUUACCCAUUCUCUUUUUCUUCAGAUUUUCUAAAAAUCAGAUUUCAAGUUCGUUUUCUAAAUUGGGAAUUGUUGAAAAUAGAGUGAGCUCCUCCCCAGUACCUGGUAAUAAACCAACAAUCAUUAUAGAACGUUUAUAAUGGUAAAUUAGAUUAUAUGUGUAAUGUGCUUAGCAGAGUGUCUUUGUGCAUAUCGAGCACCUAACAUUGUUAUACCGAGAACAGUAAGAUGAUAUAUGUUCACACUGAGUGUUCAUCUGAAGACCUUGAUUUACAAAAUAGAAGCUACCGGUUUAAAUCACCUUUAUUUAAAUUUCCUAAAAGAUAUUUGGUAUCUUUAGAGAAUGAAGCCCCUUCUGAAGACAGGAAGAAAGUCAAUAAUAUUUUGUGCAAUAAAGGUUUGAAUUUGUCAGGUUUUUGUUUUUUUUUUUUUCCCUACAGUGUAGCAAUAAAAAUCACAUGUCAGUUCAGACAGCAGCAGGAAUAGCUGACUGGUAAGUUAUUAUUCUUCCAUGCUUGCUACUUCCAAAAUACGUUUGUGAACUUCUUUCAAGGCUUAAAUGAAGAUUAAAUCAAAAUAAAGAUACAAUACUUCAAUU